GAUGAACGCUGGCGGCGUGCCUAAUACAUGCAAGUCGAGCGAACAGACGAGGAGCUUGCUCCUCUGACGUUAGCGGCGGACGGGUGAGUAACACGUGGAUAACCUACCUAUAAGACUGGGAUAACUUCGGGAAACCGGAGCUAAUACCGGAUAAUAUAUUGAACCGCAUGGUUCAAUAGUGAAAGACGGCUUUGCUGUCACUUAUAGAUGGAUCCGCGCCGCAUUAGCUAGUUGGUAAGGUAACGGCUUACCAAGGCAACGAUGCGUAGCCGACCUGAGAGGGUGGUCGGCCACACUAGAACUGAGACACGGUCCAGACGCCUACGGGAGGCAACAGUAGGGAAUCUUCCGCAAUGGGCGAAAGCUUGACGGAGCAACGCCGCGUGAGGGAUGAAGGUCUUCGGAUCGUAAAACUCUGGUAUUAGGGAAGAACAAAUGUGUAAGUAACUAUGCACGUCUUGACGGUACCUAAGCAGAAAGCCACGGCUAACUACGUG
rnacentral:rRNA from 1 species